rnacentral:rRNA from 1 species
CGGCUGCUAUACAUGCAGUCGAGCGCGGGAAGCGAGUGGAUCCCUUCGGGGUGAAGCUCGUGGAACGAGCGGCGGACGGGUGAGUAACACGUGGGCAACCUGCCUGUAAGACCGGAAUAACCCCGGGAAACCGGGGCUAAUGCCGGGUAAUACUUUUCUUCGCAUGAAGGAAAGUUGAAAGAUGGCUUCUUGCUAUCACUUACAGAUGGGCCCGCGGCGCAUUAGCUAGUUGGUGAGGUAACGGCUCACCAAGGCGACGAUGCGUAGCCGACCUGAGAGGGUGAUCGGCCACACUGGGACUGAGACACGGCCCAGACUCCUACGGGAGGCAGCAGUAGGGAAUCUUCCGCAAUGGACGAAAGUCUGACGGAGCAACGCCGCGUGAACGAUGAAGGUCUUCGGAUCGUAAAGUUCUGUUGUUAGGGAAGAACAAGUACCGUGCGAAUAGAGCGGUACCUUGACGGUACCUAACGAGGAAGCCCCGGCUAACUACGUGCCAGCAGCCGCGGUAAUACGUAGGGGGCAAGCGUUGUCCGGAAUUAUUGGGCGUAAAGCGCGCGCAGGCGGUUCCUUAAGUCUGAUGUGAAAGCCCACGGCUCAACCGUGGAGGGUCAUUGGAAACUGGGGAACUUGAGGACAGAAGAGGAGAGUGGAAUUCCACGUGUAGCGGUGAAAUGCGUAGAUAUGUGGAGGAACACCAGUGGCGAAGGCGACUCUCUGGUCUGUUUCUGACGCUGAGGUGCGAAACCGUGGGUAGCAAACAGGAUUAAAUACCCUGGUAGUCCACGCCGUAAACGAUGAGUGCUAGGUGUUAGGGGGCUUCCACCCCUUAUCGCUGAAUUUAACGCAUUAAGCACUCCGCCUGGGGAGUACUUCCCCAAGGCUGAAACUCCCGGGAAUUCACGGGUUCCCCCACAUACGGUGGAGCAUGUGGUUUUAUUCCAAGCAACUCCAAGAAACUUACUAGGUAUUAGAUGCCUUGGGCCAACCCUAAGA